AACGAACGCUGGCGGCAGGCCUAACACAUGCAAGUCGAACGAUGUAGCAAUACAUAGUGGCGCACGGGUGAGUAAUGCAUGGGAACGUACCUUUUAGUGGGGGAUAACUCCGGGAAACUGGAGCUAAUACCGCAUACGCCCUUCGGGGGAAAGAUUUAUCGCUAAAAGAUCGGCCCAUGUGAGAUUAGGUAGUUGGUGGGGUAAUGGCCUACCAAGCCUACGAUCUCUAGCUGGUCUCAGAGGAUGAUCAGCCACACUGGAACUGAGACACGGUCCAGACUCCUACGGGAGGCAGCAGUGGGAAAUAUUGGACAAUGGGCGCAAGCCUGAUCCAGCCAUGCCGCGUGAGUGAUGAAGGCUCUAGGGUUGUAAAGCUCUUUCGCCGAUGAAGAUAAUGACGGUAGUCGGAGAAGAAGCCCCGGCUAACUUCGUGCCAGCCGCCGCCGUAA
rnacentral:rRNA from 1 species